rnacentral:rRNA from 1 species
UGAUCCUGGCUCAGGACGAACGCUGGCGGCGUGCUUAACACAUGCAAGUCGAACGAUGAAGCCCUUCGGGGUGGAUUAGUGGCGAACGGGUGAGUAACACGUGGGCAAUCUGCCCUUCACUCUGGGACAAGCCCUGGAAACGGGGUCUAAUACCGGAUAACACUCUGUCCCGCAUGGGACGGGGUUAAAAGCUCCGGCGGUGAAGGAUGAGCCCGCGGCCUAUCAGCUUGUUGGUGGGGUAAUGGCCUACCAAGGCGACGACGGGUAGCCGGCCUGAGAGGGCGACCGGCCACACUGGGACUGAGACACGGCCCAGACUCCUACGGGAGGCAGCAGUGGGGAAUAUUGCACAAUGGGCGAAAGCCUGAUGCAGCGACGCCGCGUGAGGGAUGACGGCCUUCGGGUUGUAAACCUCUUUCAGCAGGGAAGAAGCGAAAGUGACGGUACCUGCAGAAGAAGCGCCGGCUAACUACGUGCCAGCAGCCGCGGUAAUACGUAGGGCGCAAGCGUUGUCCGGAAUUAUUGGGCGUAAAGAGCUCGUAGGCGGCUUGUCACGUCGGAUGUGAAAGCCCGGGGCUUAACCCCGGGUCUGCAUUCGAUACGGGCUAGCUAGAGUGUGGUAGGG